GGCAGCAGUGGGGAAUUUUGGACAAUGGGGGCAACCCUGAUCCAGCCAUGCCGCGUGAGUGAAGAAGGCCUUCGGGUUGUAAAGCUCUUUCGGCGGGGAAGAAAUGGCAACGGCUAAUAUCCGUUGUUGAUGACGGUACCCGCAUAAGAAGCACCGGCUAACUACGUGCCAGCAGCCGCGGUAAUACGUAGGGUGCGAGCGUUAAUCGGAAUUACUGGGCGUAAAGCGUGCGCAGGCGGUUUCGUAAGACAGACGUGAAAUCCCCGGGCUCAACCUGGGAACUGCGUUUGUGACUGCGAGGCUAGAGUACGGCAGAGGGGGGUAGAAUUCCACGUGUAGCAGUGAAAUGCGUAGAGAUGUGGAGGAACACCGAUGGCGAAGGCAGCCCCCUGGGUUAGUACUGACGCUCAUGCACGAAAGCGUGGGGAGCAAACAGGAUUAGAUACCCUGGUAGUCCACGCCCUAAACGAUGUCAACUAGGUGUUGGAAGGGUAUAAACCUUUUAGUACCGCAGCUAACGC
rnacentral:rRNA from 1 species